CUCCGGUUGAUCCUGCCGGACCUGACUGCUAUCGGAUUGGUACUAAGCCAUGCGAGUCGUUGUAGCAAUACAAGGCGGACGGCUCAGUAACACGUAGUCAACCUAACCUAUGGACGUGGAUAACCUCGGGAAACUGAGAAUAAACCGCGAUAGAUCAUUAUGCCUGGAAUGGCUUAUGGUCCAAACAGUUUACUGCCAUGGGAUGGGACUGCGGCUUAUCAGCUUGUUGGUGAGGUAAUGGCCCACCAAGGCUAUAACAGGUACGGGCUCUGAGAGGAGAAGCCCGGAGAUGGGUACUGAGACACGGACCCAGGCCCUAUGGGGCGCAGCAGGCGAGAAACCUUAGCAAUGUGCGAAAGCACGACUGGGUCAGUCCGAGUGAUUCCUGAUAAAGGAGUCUUUUAUCUGUCCUAAAAGCACAGGUGAAUAAGGGGUGGGCAAGUCUGGUGUCAGCCGCCGCGGUAAUACCAGCACCUCGAGUGGUCAGGACGUUUAUUGGGCCUAAAGCAUCCGUAGCCGGCUUUGCAAGUCUCCGGUUAAAUCCACCUGCUCAACAGAUGGGCUGCUGGAGAUACUACAAAGCUAGGGAGUGGGAGAGGCAGACGGUAUUCAGUGGGUAGGGGUAAAAUCCUCUGAUCCAUCGAGGACCACCAGUGGCGAAGGCGGUCUGCCAGAACACGUUCGACGGUGAGGGAUGAAAGCUGGGGGAGCAAACCGGAUUAGAUACCCGGGUAGUCCCAGCUGUAAACGAUGCAAACUCGGUGAUGCAUUGGCUUAUGGCCAAUGCAGUGCCGCAGGGAAGCCGUUAAGUUUGCCGCCUGGGAAGUACGGACGCAAGUCUGAAACUUAAAGGGAUUGGCGGGGGAGCA
rnacentral:rRNA from 1 species